GACGUAGGGUGCAAGCGUUGUCCGGAUUUAUUGGGCGUAAAGGGCUCGUAGGCGGUUUGUCGCGUCGGGAGUGAAAACUCAGGGCUCAACCCUGAGCCUGCUUCCGAUACGGGCAGACUAGAGGUAUGCAGGGGAGAACGGAAUUCCUGGUGUAGCGGUGAAAUGCGCAGAUAUCAGGAGGAACACCGGUGGCGAAGGCGGUUCUCUGGGCAUUACCUGACGCUGAGGAGCGAAAGUGUGGGGAGCGAACAGG
rnacentral:rRNA from 1 species